UUUUUUAAUUGAAAGCUUGUAUGAAAGGUUGGAUAAAAUAUUGAUUGUUUCAAGAUAAAUUUAUUAGAAAUUUAUUUUUUAGUAAAAAAGCUAAAAUUUAAUUAAAAGACGAGAAGACCCUAUAAAGUUUUAUAUUUAUAUUUUUAGAUUUAAUAAAAAUUAAUUUUAAUUUUAAAAAGUUAAAUAUUUAAUUGGGGAGAUAAUAAAAUUUAAAAAACUUUUAUAUAUUUUUACAUAAAUUAAUGAAUUAUUGAUCUUUUAUUAUUGAUUAAAAAAUUAAAUUACUUUAGGGAUAACAGCGUUAU
rnacentral:rRNA from 1 species